AGAGUUUGAUCCUGGCUCAGAACGUACGCUGGCGGCACGCCUAACACAUGCAAGUCGAACGAAGUAGCAAUACUUAGUGGCAGACGGGUGAGUAACAUGUAGGUAUCUGCCCUUUGGCCUGGAAUAACACGAGGAAGCUUGUGCUAAUACCGGAUAAGUCUUUACGGAGAAAGCUUUAUGCACCAUUGGAUGAGCCUGCACUUGAUUAGUUUGUUGGUGGGGUAAUGGCCUACCAAGACUGUGAUCAAUAGCUGAUUUGAGAGGAUGAUCAGCCACAUUGGGACUGAGACACGGCCCAAACUCCUACGGGAGGCAGCAGUGGGGAAUCUUGCACAAUGGAGGAAACUCUGAUGCAGCGAUGCCGCGUGAGUGAAGAAGGCCUUUGGGUUGUAAAGCUCUUUCGUCGGGGAAGAAAAUGACUGUACCCGAAUAAGAAGGUCCGGCUAACUUCGUGCCAGCAGCCGCGGUAAUACGAAGGGACCUAGCGUAGUUCGGAAUUACUGGGCUUAAAGAGUUCGUAGGUGGUUGAAAAAGUUGGUGGUGAAAUCCCAGAGCUUAACUCUGGAACUGCCAUCAAAACUUUUCAGCUAGAGUGUGAUAGAGGAAAGCAGAAUUUCUAGUGUAGAGGUGAAAUUCGUAGAUAUUAGAAAGAAUACCAAAUGCGAAGGCAGCUUUCUGGAUCAUUACUGACACUGAGGAACGAAAGCAUGGGUAGCGAAGAGGAUUAGAUACCCUCGUAGUCCAUGCCGUAAACGAUGUGUGUUAGACGUUGGAAAUUUAUUUUCAGUGUCGCAGCGAAAGCAAUAAACACACCGCCUGGGGAGUACGACCGCAAGGUUAAAACUCAAAUGAAUUGACGGGGACCCGCACAAGUAGUGGAGCAUGUGGUUUAAUUCGAAGAUACGCGCAGAACCUUACCAACACUUGACAUGUUCGUCGCGACUUUAAGAGAUUAAAGUUUUCGGUUCGGCCGGACGAAACACAGGUGCUGCAUGGCUGUCGUCAGCUCGUGUCGUGAGAUGUUGGGUUAAGUCCCGCAACGAGCGCAACCCUCACUUUUAGUUGCCAUCAUUUAGUUGGGCACUCUGAAAGAACUGCCAGUGAUAAGCUGGAGGAAGGUGGGGAUGACGUCAAGUCCUCAUGGCCCUUACGUGUUGGGCUACACACGUGCUACAAUGGUAUCUACAACAGGAAGCAAAACUGCGAAGUUAAGCAAAUCCUUAAAAGAUACCUCAGUUCGGAUUGCACUCUGCAACUCGAGUGCAUGAAGCUGGAAUUACUAGUAAUCGUGGAUCAGCGUGCCACGGUGAAUGCGUUCCCGGGUCUUGUACACACCGCCCGUCACACCAUGGGAGUUGGUUCUACCUUAAGGCAAGGUUUCAAACCCUUGACCACGGUAUAGUCAGCGACUGGGGUGAAGUCGUAACAAGGUAACC
rnacentral:rRNA from 1 species